UAGUCUCUAAGGUGCCGCAAGUACUCCUUUUCUUAAUUAACAUGUGGGAUUGUGAGAAAUCCUGGAUAACGUUUGGUUGUUUUUUUUUUUUACAGGGUUACAUGUCAGCUGUUCGUGCAAACUGUGAACACCUCACUAGAUGGAAGGGGUACCAAAAUACAUGAUUAUGAAGGGAUUAUGAUGGGAAAUUAGUUUGUAGUAGAGCAGGAGAAUAAACAGCUAAUUUUUGGGAAAUAGUUGAAGAUCUAACGGACAUGUAAAAUUAGACUGGACAAAGAAUGGAGAAAGUAUGUCAUAGGGAAUGACCCUGCACUGGCCUGAGGGAGAUGGAGGGGAUGAACUACAAGUCUCAUUUAUCUCAAGUUUCCCCUCUCUCUUGAGGAGGAUGUGCAUGCAAAUAUGCCAUCCUUUCAUUCUUUGACCUGCCUGGAUAAGCAAAGGUCUGAGGAGAUUCUGUGAAAGAGAGAUAUAGGAUAAGAAAAUAAUCUGGGGAAUGCAAGCAAUGCCCCACCCCAC